AUGCAAAUCUGCUGUGCAUCCAGAGAGCAAAGUGGGAUGAUCUGUCACUACACCUGCAGCACCACGCUCGGAGGACAGCUCCUGCCUGCAGCUUCCAGACCCAGGAAGCCUGAGGGGAAGGAAGGAAGUACGGGCGAAAUCAUCAGAUUGGCUUCCCAGAUUUGGGAAUCUGAAGCGGGCCCACAUCUUCCGGCCAACUUCCAUUGAACUUCCCAGCACUCGAAAGGGACCGAAAUGGAGAGCAAAGCACCACAGGCCUCUUUGUGGUUGCCCCUUUCUAAUGCUCCUCAAGACAACCUGCUAAUAUAAGCAAAGAGUAAAUGAAUGAGGAGAGCACCUCCUCAUGUCAGGAAGCCUAUGGAGUUAGAUCACCUGGAUUUGCUCAUUUCCUGGACAAAAACUGCCCUUUUAAUCUCAAUUUCCUAUUAAAGACUGGUUCAACAUUAUCAUUUCCCAGGGAGAGUCUUCAACUUGAAGUGAUCACUCAAUCACUAAAAGCCUCCAACUUGAAGUGAUUGCAAAACCACUGCAGCUGCACCUUUCUUAUGCAU
rnacentral:sRNA from 1 species